UCCUAUUUCCUUUCCAAAACAGUCUCCUUCUUUCCCUUUUCUCGCCCACAACUCUGAAAAACCAGGGGCUCUUUCUCAUCUCCAACCAGCCGCUGACGUAGUUCAAAGGCUACACAUGGUAGCUUUGGCAUCUUCUUCUUUCCCUCAUCUCAUCCAUGACUCUGGAAAACCAAGCCAUCUUUCUCAUUGCCAACCAGUCAAAUUGGGAUCUCUGUAACUCAGAGGCUACCAGAUUUACUCGCCAACUAGUCCUUGAGUUACUCUCCGAUCUCUGUUUCUGAUCUCAUGGGCUACCGACCCUCUUUCUAAGAUAGUGCGAUACAUGUGUUCUCAUAUGUUGAGUAUUUCAUUGGCAGGAAAGAGAAUGUCAUAGAUAUAGGCUUGCUUAUUUACUGUUACUGUAAUUAUAUGCAAUGGGAAAGCAAAGCAAGAAUGUGGAUAUGAGAGUGCAUCAUUGUAUCAUUGCCCUUAUUAGGUAGUUGGCACAAUGGAAAAGCUUUAUUAAUGUUGGUGUUGUUGCCAAGACAAAAGCUUAUUUAUUCUACUUAAGAGUUCCAUACCCAAUUUUGUUAAGGUUGAUGUUGUCAAUGUUACUUUUUAUAUAGUUAUUCAUUUUUCUU